CUUUUGGGUCCCGUCCCUUGCCGCGUGCUCAUGACAGUUUCCUCUGGAAAUUCUUUUUAGGGUCUUCAAGGAAUUUCUGGAGAAAGAGGACCUGAUGGACCACUGGGUUCCAUGGGCCCUCCAGGGUCUCCAGGACCUCAGGGGAUCACUGGUGCCCCAGGCGAAAAGGGUUUUACAGGGAAAUCUGGUACGGAGGGACCGCAGGGCCCAGUUGGCAUGUAUG